CAGCCCUACGGGAGGCAGCAGUGAGGAAUAUUGGCCAAUGGGCGGAAGCCUGAACCAGCCAAGUCGCGUGAGGGAAUAAGGCCCUACGGGUCGUAAACCUCUUUUGCCGGGGAGCAAGGGCGGGGACGUGUCCCGGCCCGGAGAGUACCCGGAGAAAAAGCAUCGGCUAACUCCGUGCCAGCAGCCGCGGUAAUACGGAGGAUGCGAGCGUUAUUCGGAUUUAUUGGGUUUAAAGGGUGCGUAGGUGGGCUUUUAAGUAAGCGGUAAAAAUUAGGGGCUGAAACACGUAGGGAUGUUGAAAAUGG
rnacentral:rRNA from 1 species